GCCGGCUUGGCUUAGAGGCAGAGCGUCGCUCUCGUAAAGCGAAGGUCGCAGGUUCGAUUCCUGCAGUCGGCA
rfam:Pristionchus pacificus strain PS312 contig9289, whole genome shotgun sequence.